AUACAUUUCUGCUUUCCAAGAGAAGUGCCAGAGAAAGUACUCUAUUUUUGUAAGAGUUUAAAGGGCAUGGUCAGAGAAGUGACUAUGUAAAAAUGGCACCUUUUCAUCCAGCAGAUCUGUUCCCAGUGAGUAUUCUGACUCAUGUCUGCUUACUUUAGUGACCAAAAUAGAUUUUUACUACUUCUCACUCCUCUUUAGCCCUGCAGAACCAACACAGCAAGUGGGGAGUUAUAUAAAUCCUACACGGGACCAAAACCCACAGGGACUUGUGAGCUGCAUAUGAGGUGCAGGAGCGAGGGCUGGAUGUGCCUCCGAGGGUGGCUGCAGGGGCAGCACCGUGGUCCAUCAUUUUCCCUGCCCUGUGCCACACACGGCUCAUUACAGCGGGUGUUGAUAACCAAAGGGGAUGGGAGAGGAGGAGAACUCCCCUUCCCUCUGUCCCCACACCCAGCAGCAAACCUGACCCUGCAGCAUCUCCGCUCUGUGCUCCUGCAGCCAAGGCCAAAGAUCAGCUGCUGGAGCCUGGCUCAGUCCCUGGACGCAGAACUCAGUGCAGUUAACUGCAGACAGCUGAUGGCCAAGAUACCUAGUGACACCAGCAGCAGUCCCACCUCAGCUGAUGGACAGAGGCUGCCUUCCCAGGGACUUUCCCAGACUAACGUGAUUGUCUCAGAUUGGCAAGAUUAACCUGUCCUCUGGCUAGGGAGGGAGCUGACACAAUUACCGUCCACUAGUUGCUAGGUUUUUAGAUGGCUACAGCUAGGUGAGGUGAAUCCUAUACUCACAAAGCAGUUUUUCCUGUUCACUACAGCAAAUCUGACUUCUCUGCAUAGAAGGUGGAAGAACCCAAAUCUCAGAUUUCUCUGCACUCUUCAUUUCAAGAGCAUGAUAAAUUGCUUCGCUGACAUGAAACCUUGGUUGUGCCUACUAAGAGGUGCUCUUUGUGGUUUCAGGAUGUUGACAUACAUAUUGGUGACAGACGAUUUGGCUUGUCCUGAUCGCUAGAGAUAUCGAGCAUGUUACAGACUGUUUGCUAUAAAUUCAUAAAAAUACCAGAGAACUUAUAAACACUGCAAAGGAAUGAAAAGUACUGAUCCGAGUUCCCAGUUUCACAUUCUAAGCAACUAUAACGAAACUAGGGAAAAGGCAAAAAAUGCCUACCAGUCUUCAUUUGAUUUCAAAUUCUUUUUUUUUUUUUUCUUUUUCAAACCUGCUUUUAAUGCCACAGGCACAGACCUGUGUCUAAAACUCUGUAAAGCUUUGAAGAGCCAACUACAGUCAGAAGAAUCAGUGCGACACUAGUUCUUUGGAGAAAUGAUUGGUAACUUUUACCAUACCUGCUUCACAUGGGUCCUGCAAAUCGGCUUCUUUUUCAAGCAGCGUUUGCAGUUUAGUCUCAGCGCAAGUUGUUAUGCAAUGUAUUAAUGUUACUUUUGUAGUUAUACUAUAAAUCUUUUCCGUCUAAUUUGUGAACUCUAUAGAGAACAGUCCAUUUUAUAAACAGAAUUUUAAAACACCAGGUUUAAAAUUUAUUACAGAGUUCAUUCAGAACUGACAAAGACUUCUUAGAAAACUGAAUUUUGCUUCAGACUUCCCUUCCGUAUAGCUACUAAGCUUUUUUCUUUUUAAAGACCUUUUAAUUGUUUUAAUUACACAGAAAAUAAAAAUAUAAUCAAUGAUAGAA